rnacentral:rRNA from 1 species
GACGGAGGGUGCUAGCGUUGUUCGGAAUUACUGGGCGUAAAGGGCGCGUAGGCGGUCCUCUAAGUCUUGUGUGAAAUCCCUCGGCUCAACUGAGGAACUGCACGGGAUACUGGAUGACUUGAGUUCGGGAGAGGGAAGCGGAAUUCCGGGUGUAGCGGUGAAAUGCGUAGAUAUCCGGAGGAACACCGGUGGCGAAGGCGGCUUCCUGGACCGAUUACUGACGCUGAGGCGCGAAAGCUAGGGGAGCAAACGGG